GGCAAGAACUGGGCCCGACUCCUCCCCUUACCCUCGCACCUGCCCCAGGGUGGGCCCGUUGCCAGUGCCUGGCACACCGCCUGUGGAGAGAACAGCACAGUCCUCCUGACUCAUCAGACUUCAUGGGCUGAGCCGAGGCCCCGCUGGUCAGCAUAUUGCUCACGGAUGUGGAAGCUUCCCUGUGACCUAGACACUGCUGUCCACAUCCUAACGAGAACUUCUGAAGAAGAUUUUAUCUCCCAUUCUUUGUGGCUAGCUAUCAUGGUGUAGCGGUUACAAGUGUGUGAACUUUGGAAUCAGACAGAUUUGAGUAGGCAUGGUUACUUCUGCUUUUACUGGGUUACAUCAGCCCUCUGGGCCUCAGUUUAUUCAUCUGUCAAAUGUAUCUACCUAAGAUGUUGGCUGUGAGGAUGCACUGAGGUCGUGAAGAGGUGGUGUAGAUUCACACUCUUGUCCUGUCUGAACACCUGUCCUGACUGGGUUCCCAGGUUCAGCUUGGAUAUCACCUCUUCGAGGAGCCCCCCAGCCUCCCUUUGUAUGAGCUGGAAUUUCCUCCUCUGAAUCACAGAAUUCAUUUCUGAUCAUAGGUUGGCCUGUGAAUAGCUCUGUAGCUGCUCUAGGCUGUCAGAGACACUAGUCCCAGUAAGGGAAACAUGAAGAAUUGACUUCCCGCUGGUGGUAGAGAGCCCAUAAAUCAGAUCUUUGGUGAACAGAGACCACUGCUGCUGCGUGCAGAGAGAAACCAGAGGGAUGAACAGCGACAGGAAUGAAUCUUCUGACUGGCUGGAUCAGCUGAUGAGUAUGGAGGGAAUAGCUGAACCGAGCCGGACCAAUCAGAUGUUUUCUCUCAAGAGCCUGGAAUUUUGAACCGCAAGGCAGAGAUUGGAGCUUUGGGAUGGGGCUGCUUCAAUGGAAGUGUUCUGGGGAGGGGGGUCAUUGACUCCAGAUGCCGAGGUCCUUGGGACUGCCCUGGCUCUGGCCUUUCCUGGUGCUCAGUUGUUCAA